UUAUGUUAGCGGCGGACGGGUGAGUAACACGUGGGUAACCUGCCUGUAAGACUGGGAUAACUCCGGGAAACCGGGGCUAAUACCGGAUGCUUGAUUGAACCGCAUGGUUCAAUUAUAAAAGGUGGCUUUUGCCUACCACUUACAGAUGGACCCGCGGCGCAUUACCUAGUUGGUGAGGUAACGGCUCACCAAGGCAACAAUGCGUACCCAACCUGAAAGGGUGAUCGGCCACACUGGGACUGAAGACACGGCCCAAACUCCUACGGGAGGCA
rnacentral:rRNA from 1 species